rnacentral:rRNA from 1 species
GACGAACGCUGGCGGCGUGCUUAACACAUGCAAGUCGAACGGAAAGGCCUGCUUUCCCUUGUGGAUUGCGGGUACUCGAGUGGCGAACGGGUGAGUAACACGUGAGUGAUCUGCCCCCAACUUGGGUAUAAGCCUGGGAAACUGGGUCUAAUUCCCGAUAGGACUGCAGGGUGGUGCCUGUGGUGGAAAACGAUUUUCUAGUGGUUGGGGAUGAGCUCGCGGCCUAUCAGCUUGUUGGUGGGGUAAUGGCCUACCAAGGCGGCGACGGGUAGCCGGCCUGAGAGGGUGGACGGCCACAUUGGGACUGAGAUACGGCCCAGACUCCUACGGGAGGCAGCAGUGGGGAAUAUUGCACAAUGGGCGGAAGCCUGAGGCAGCGACGCCGCGGGGGGGAUGACGGCCUUCGGGUGGUAAACUCCUUUCGACCGCGAGGAAGCCACCUGGUUGGAAGGGUGGUGACGGUAGUGGUAGAAGAAGCACCGGCUAACUACGUG